AAACGAGCUGGAAGCACGGAAGGCUCCGUGCUUCCGAUAGCAUAGUAGCUUCACUCUAUAUAUAUAAUUAUACUAUAUAAUAAUAUAUAUAUAUAUAGAGAGAGAGAGAGAGAGAGACUACUAUGCUCUUAUGAGUAUAGAGCCUCUUGUACUCAUAAAUUUUUGACCAUUAGAUCUACCCAUUAAUCAUUUUCACCCGUUAGAUUAUACUAUUCAAUAAACCACCCACUCAACCCUAGGGGGCCCACUAUCACACUAACCGUAACUACUCUCAUCCUAACCCAUAUUUUUUCAUCCGAACGGUAUCAAACUUAUGAGUACAAAGGGCUCUAUACUCAUAUGAGUAUAGUAGCCCUAGCCUAUAUAUAUAUAUAUAUAUAUAUAUAUAUAUAU
rnacentral:lncRNA from 1 species